UCAAGCCAGAAAACAUCCUUCUGAGAGUGGAUGAGGUUUAUGUUCGAAAGCUCGCGGCCGACACCAAGCUGUGGCAGAUGCCCACGUCUCCUGUAUUCACCGGCACCUCAGUGAACACAGUUUCCAGAGAAAAACAGAGUGCGCCCAAGUUACUCGGAAAGCUGACUGGGGUUUUCCACACUCUUGGGGAGUGGGUAAGAUGGAGUUGGUGUUCUGCUUUUAUACUGAUGCAUCUUAUAAGCUCCUACAUCUUUAUCAAACUGUGUAACAACCGGCCUUUUGUACAAGCACACUGCACUGAGACUUCUGGAUAUGGGGAAAGUUACUGUUCAUACUUGAUUUUUAUCAGCAGUUGCCUAGUUGCUGAGCAGUUGUGGCCUCUUCACCUCAGUCAGAAAAUAUGCUCUGCCUAUUUUUGCAUUUGUAACAUUCAUAUAAUCAAUAAUUAUGGCAUUCAUAUUGCAGCAUUUUUUUCUUACUACCCACUCAGGUGUGUGUAACUUUUACAGAGAGUUUGGGCAGAGAUUGGAGAGCACGUUAUAUGUGUUCAUUCUACUGUAUUUUUCUUCCUUUCUCAUCCUAAAGAGAUACUGGAAAGAGGCGUUUGCAAUAUAUGCACUGCAUUUAUAAAAAGUAACUUUGUAAACUCCUGUACGCAGUGGAGUACAGACAAGUAAAGAGCAGGUUAUCAUGUAUUUAGAGAGUACAGCUUCUAUGGUGUAUUACUUAUGGUAUAUAUUCUACAGUAGGCAACUUACUGUGACUAUCAGGACUGGGCACUAAGCCAUGCUGAAACAGUAAGCAGACACAACUGGUUAUUUUGAUGUCCUUCCAAUAGCCGCUGUUGUGGUUUCACCAUAGCUUGUUGUCAGCAACCGGCUCUAAAUCAUGUGAAAACUUUAUGAUUCACUGCUGAGGUAUGAAAUAUAAAAACAAUGCUAAGUAUGUCCACUGUUGUCUGCGCACUAAAGUACUAAUAGAAUAUGAAACAUCACUUGUAGUUGCAUUAUUCUGCAUUUUUGCUGGAACUCACAAAG